UUGCCCUAGUAACGGCGAGUGAAGCGGCAACAGCUCAAAUUUGAAAUCUGGCUUCGGCCCGAGUUGUAAUUUGCAGAGGAAGCUUUAGGCGCGGCACCUCCUGAGUCCCCUGGAACGGGGCGCCACAGAGGGUGAGAGCCCCGUAUAGUUGGAUGCCUAGCCUGUGUAAAGCUCCUUCGACGAGUCGAGUAGUUUGGGAAUGCUGCUCAAAAUGGGAGGUAAAUUUCUUCUAAAGCUAAAUACCGGCCAGAGACCGAUAGCGCACAAGUAGAGUGAUCGAAAGAUGAAAAGCACUUUGAAAAGAGGGUUAAAUAGCACGUGAAAUUGUUGAAAGGGAAGCGCUUGUGACCAGACUUGCGCCGGGCUGAUCAUCCGGUGUUCUCACCGGUGCACUCUGCCCGGCUCAGGCCAGCAUCGGUUCUCGCGGGGGGAUAAAGGCCCUGGGAACGUAGCUCCUCCGGGAGUGUUAUAGCCCGGGGCGCAAUGCCCUCGCGGGGACCGAGGUUCGCGCUCUGCAAGGAUGCUGGCGUAAUGGUCAUCAGCGACCCGUCUUGAAACACGGACCAAGGAGUCAAGGUUUUGCGCGAGUGUUUGGGUGUAAAACCCGCACGCGUAAUGAAAGUGAACGUAGGUGAGAGCUUCGGCGCAUCAUCGACCGAUCCUGAUGUUCUCGGAUGGAUUUGAGUAGGAGCGUUAAGCCUUGGACCCGAAAGAUGGUGAACUAUGCUUGGAUAGGGUGAAGCCAGAGGAAACUCUGGUGGAGGCUCGCAGCGGUUCUGACGUGCAAAUCGAUCGUCAAAUCUGAGCAUGGGGGCGAAAGACUAAUCG
rnacentral:rRNA from 1 species